rnacentral:lncRNA from 1 species
GUGUUUGUGUCAUGUGUCGUGUUUGUGCUUUUACAAUUUAAAAUAAAAAUGAAAACGGCGUCGUCUCUUCCAUAGAAAACAGUCUCAUCUCCUUAAUUGAAUUUCUGGUAGCUCCGCUGACUUCUACUGCUUUCCUUUCCCCAAUCUGUGGUGAUGCACAGUUGCAGUCCUUUUCCAUUAUAGGUAGAGACACUCUUACUCUUGAAUUUUUCAUUAACUUGCU